GUUCUUUUGUUUAUAUAAAAGAUUUGACCUGCCCAAUGAUUAUUUUUAAUGGCUGCAGUAUAUUGACUGUACAAAGGUAGCAUAAUCACUUGUCUUUUAAUUGAGGUCUAGGAUGAAUGGUUUGAUGAAAAGAAAACUUUCUUUUUUUUAUAAGAGGAACUUAAUUUUUAAGUCAAAAAGCUUAAAUUUUUUUAUGGGACGAGAAGACCCUAUAGAACUUUAUUUUUGGUUUAUUUAUUUAAUUUAGUUAAUAUUUAUAAGUGAAUAAUUAUUAAAUUUUGUUGGGGUGACAGAAAAAAUCUAAUAACUUUUUCUAUUUUUUUCAUUAUUUAUGAAUUUUUGAUCCUUUUUUAGGAAUAUAAGUUUAAGUUACCUUAGGGAUAACAGCGUUAUUAUUUUGGAGAGUCCAUAUCGAUAAAAUAGUUUGCGACCUCGAUGUUGGAUUAUAAUAAGAUAUAGAAGUAGAAUAUUAUAUUCUGGGUCUGUUCGACCUUUAAAUUUUUACA
rnacentral:rRNA from 1 species